GCUCCUUGUUGAUUUUCACGGAAGUUAUCCUGUUGAGCAGGUUGCUCUUGAGAUUUAUUUGCGUCGCUUGUAAAAAUUUUCAUUGUGACAUUGCUCCUUACAAGUAUUGCAUUAUUCCCUUUUCCAGGAUAUUUAUCUUCCCACAAGUACUAUGAGAGCGAAAUUUUCUUUUCCUGUUGCAAUAUCUGUUUUCAGCUUGAUUGUCCUUUGUGCUUGAUGUAACUUUUCAUUUGUGCUUAUCGCUUUGCCUCUUAUAAUUACAAUCAAAGCCUAGAGAGAAGAGGAGGAUUCAGAGACAGUUGCAAUACAGACCAAUCUUCUAAUGGAUCACAAUGAUGCAAGUCAAGAAGAGGCCUAGAUUCGAAAAUAUGUCAAGGUGAUGACGAAGUGAAUCUUUUACAAGCCAUUGCCACGGUACACUUCUGCAAUCUGUAAGCUAUGUUAUUAUUUUUUAAUUCCAUUUUUUUAUUGGCUUAAACCAAGAUUCGAACUCAUAUCCUGGUACGGUGAACCAAAGCUGUCGUUACCGUGCAGAAACUUAUGUAUCAUCUGCUAAGAUAAGAACAAUUGCAGAGAGAGAGAGAGAGAG
rnacentral:misc_RNA from 1 species